rnacentral:misc_RNA from 1 species
CGGCUCUGCUUCUUAUCAUUUAUCCGCUCCACUAUUUACCGCCGCGAAACUGGGUUCCGACCGCCGCACGGCUGUCGACGGGAAAUCUGAGAGUCCUAGCACCUCCGAAGCUCUCGACCUCCGCUUCCGGCGACUGAGGUACAACAAGAGAAGUACUAUAGAGUGCCUCAUUUACUCUUUGAUUCAUAUUUAGGAACGAUGCCGAACCCUAGGUCUUACCGGAAGGGGAAACUUGCGGAGAAGUCGUCGUCGUUCCACGGAGAGAGUCCGACGAAGACGACGACGACGUCGCUCCGAAGGCCGAAGACGGAUCCGGAGUUGUUGUCCUUCAAGAAUCUAGGUUUAUCGGCGCCGUCGCUGGAUGGACGGCCGAAGAUGACGAAAUUGCUCCUCAACGUGACGAUUCACGGCAGUCUAGGGCCAGUACAGGUGUUGAUGUCGCCGGAGAUGACCGUGGCUGAUCUUGUGUCGGCGACCGUCCGCCAGUACUUGAAAGAAGGCCGCCGGCCGAUUUUGCCUACUGCAGAUCCUUCCGCCUUCGAUCUUCAUUAUUCGCAAUUCAGCUUAGAAAGUUUGAACAAAGAAGAGAAGCUAAUCGCCUUGGGAUCGAGAAACUUCUUUCUGUGCCCCAGAAAAUCAGAGGAUAACGACGAUUUAAUAGCAUCUUCGUCGUCGUCCUGCUCGAAAGAAGCCAAAGAAAGCGCGAAGAGUUCCAGCAGUUUCAGUUGGUUCAAAUUCAUCGAUUUCCGGAUUUAGAAACCGCCAUAAAUGGAAUCGAUUCAUAUAUUCAAUCCGCCACUGUGAAAAAUCAUCUUUUAAUUCUCUUAAACCAUAUAAGUUUUCGAAUUAUCUUCAAUACUAAGAUGUUCUUAAGCAAUAUGCAGUAUCAGAAUUCGAUCAAGCAAAGGAAAGGGAAGAUUUCAGCAACUCUAUUCUUCACUUGCUUGCUCUGGAUCGACACACGGGAAAUUUUCAAUAUGUACAUAAUAUAGUUUUUGGGAUCCGCUUGCUUGAAUAGAAAUUAUGUGAAUUUUUUUGUUGAAUUCACAAAUCAUUUUCUCAUAUUCUGUAACUUCCAGAUUCAAUGAACGAAGUCACGGCAGGAAAAAUCCUGAUAUUGCGUGAGAAUUUAGAAACUUCGUGAAAUAAAGAGUGGUGAAAGGAGAAAGACGG